AUGGAUCCAACCGUUGAAGCUUUCCUCAAACGCCUCGACAAUACUCUCAAGGCCCAGAACAAGGCCAUCGCCGAGAUCCAGGCGUCCACAGCCAAGAUCGACGACCUCGUCCAUUGGCGACCCGAUCUGGAGAAGCGCGUCUCCGAUCUGGGCGAGGCGGUGGCGGCGCUCCAACUCGCGCAAACCAAGGAGAUCGAGGGGAAUCGAGCACCCGCAUCGAGCUACAUCCCGCCAGCGACGACCGGUACCCACCUCGGGGCCGGGACCGGCGCGGCCGACGCUCCUCAAGGGCCAAAUGGCCACGGCGUCUUCAACCUACCACGGGGGCCCCCGGCGGUGUCAUUCCAGACGCCGCCCCCGCCCCCGGCAUCGGGUCAGUUCAAUUCCCUGGCGCCAUCCCCUUCCUCGUUGUCUCCCUUCGCUCAUGCCAGUCAACUCCUCUCGGGACUGGGACAAACGCAUCCGUCCAUUUCGUUUCCUCAAUUUACGGGAGACAACCCGAAUCUGUGGAAAACAUUGUGCGAGCAAUACUUCUAG
rnacentral:rRNA from 1 species